rnacentral:lncRNA from 1 species
AAAAACGCACUUGCCGAUACCUAAGACUCUCACACCUACAAAAUGCUCACAAAAAUUCGAGUAGCAAAAGAGUCAAAAGAGUAAAAUUUACCCCCAGAGUUUAUUUGAAAAAAAAAGAAAAAGAGAAAGAAAAAUCACACAACAUGACUGUCGAGUUCAAAACCCUUUGUUAUCCAUUUUUUUGUUUAUCCCACCGUACCCAAGCCCCGUUACAACCCAAAAAGACCUCGAAAA